UCACUUUAAGUGCAUCUUUGGAUGUUACUCAUUGUGUAACUUUGACAUCUGGCCUCAAAUCAAGUAGGACUACCCGCUGAACUUAAGCAUAUCAAUAAGCGGAGGAAAAGAAACUAACAAGGAUUCCCCUAGUAACGGCGAGUGAAGCGGGAAGAGCUCAAAUUUGAAAUCUGGUGGCCUCAGGUCAUCCGAGUUGUAAUCUAUAGAAGUGUUUUCCGUGCUGGCUCAUGUACAAGUCCCUUGGAACAGGGCGUCAUAGAGGGUGAGAAUCCCGUCCUUGACAUGAACUACCAGUGCUCUGUGAUACAUUUUCAACGAGUCGAGUUGUUUGGGAAUGCAGCUCAAAAUGGGUGGUAAAUUCCAUCUAAAGCUAAAUAUUGGCGAGAGACCGAUAGCGAACAAGUACCGUGAGGGAAAGAUGAAAAGCACUUUGGAAAGAGAGUUAAACAGUAUGUGAAAUUGUUGAAAGGGAAACGAUUGAAGUCAGUCGUGCUCUUUGGAUUCAGCCGGUUCUGCCGGUGUACUUCCUUUGAGUGGGGUCAACAUCAGUUUUGAUCGCUGGAUAAAGGCUGGAGGAACGUAGUACCCUCGGGUAAACUUAUAGCCUCCUGUCACAUACAGUGGUUGGGACUGAGGAACGCAGCACGCCUUUAUGGCCGGGAUUCGUCCACGUACGU
rnacentral:rRNA from 1 species